GGGAUGCUGUCUCUGAGGGCUGGCCCUGGGACCACACUGCCUGAGUUUGAAUCUGGCUCCACCAUUUAUUAGUGUGUGAUUUGGGAAAAAGCAAAAUGCACUUUCGUCUUUGCCUCCAAAAGUAAUAAAGAAAAUUGUCGUAAAUGGGAUCCAGAUGAACAAGGUUCCCUGUGGGAACAAAAGAGUCUCAGUCGACAGACAGAGAGAAGCAGGAUCUGCGACCCUCCGCUGCGCGUCUGUCAUACGCGGGAUUUGUAUGCAGAGAGGAAAAGAAUUGCUGAAUAGGAUUACUACUCCGAAGGGGAAAACAAAAGAAGUUUAACAAUCAAUGCAUGAAAGAGAGCAAGCAAACCUCUCCACGGAGGUCGAAGAGAAAGAAAAGAGUUUCUUACUGAAUAAGCGCUAAACCAGAAUGUGAUGCUCAUCACAGGCCAUCUGCUAAGAGAUUGCAAAGACACAAAGAAACCUCCCUCAUCGACAGACAUGUGGCUACUACCCGCCAGGUCACGAGUGCUUACUCACGGUGGAGGACUUGAGAGCUGGGAGGCCAGCGGGCUGGAGCUCAGUGAAGCCACAGAGCCGAGUUGCGGAUCACCAGACAUGGCAAGGAGGACCAGGGCAUCCAGGAGGACCACUGCUGGGGCUUUGCUGCGUCCUGGCAGGGGUCAUCCUUGGGGAAGUUCAAUGAGGACAAUGAGGCACGGAGGGGAUGAAGAAUUGCCCAGGAUCCCACAACUAGAGGCUGACAGAGACGAGUUCUACCCGUGUUCAGUCUUCGUCUCCCUGCUACAGUAUCCUGCCAAGGUUCCAACUCAAUUUACACGAUUCCACCCUUUGGCUUCACAGCUGGGUGACUGGACUCAGGCGGGGUUAAGAGGGUCUGAAGAAUUGUGGGAAGGUGUCUUAUCCUGCAAAAUUGAUCAAUAAACAGGCAAAAAGCAAUCAGGAUUGUAGAAUGGGUUAGUUGGCUAGGCCUGCCGUAACAGACUGAGUGGCUUAAAUAAAUUUAUAGUCUUACAAUUCCGGAGGCUGGAAGUCUAAGAUCAAGGUGCCAGCAGGGUAAAUGAUUGGCAAGGCUUGAAGAUGCUGCUUCUCACUGUGCCCUCAGGUGGCCUUUCCUCUGUGCGCACACAUCCCUGGUGUCUCUUCCUCUUACAGAGACACCUGUCCUAUCGGAUUAGGGCCCCACCCUUAUGACUUAACCUCAAUUACCCCCCCAAAGGCCCUAUCUCCAGAUACAGUCACAGUGUGGGGUGGGCUUCAACCUACGAAUUUGUAAAG
rnacentral:lncRNA from 1 species